rnacentral:rRNA from 1 species
UACGAAGGGUGCAAGCGUUACUCGGAAUUACUGGGCGUAAAGCGUGCGUAGGUGGUUGUUUAAGUCUGCUGUGAAAGUCCAGGGCUCAACCCUGGAAAGCCGGUGGAAACUGUCGAGCUAGAGUCCGGAAGAGGCGAGUGGAAUUCCUGGUGUAGCGGUGAAAUGCGCAGAUAUCAGGAGGAACACCGAUGGCGAAGGCAGGUCUCUGGGCCGAUACUGACGCUGAGGAGCGAAAGCGUGGGGAGCGAACAGG